ACAGCAGUCGCCGCGGGAAUACGUAGGGUGCAAGCGUUAAUCGGAAUUACUGGGCGUAAAGCGUGCGCAGGCGGUUAUAUAAGACAGAUGUGAAAUCCCCGGGCUCAACCUGGGAACUGCAUUUGUGACUGUAUAGCUAGAGUACGGCAGAGGGGGAUGGAAUUCCGCGUGUAGCAGUGAAAUGCGUAGAUAUGCGGAGGAACACCGAUGGCGAAGGCAAUCCCCUGGGCCUGUACUGACGCUCAUGCACGAAAGCGUGGGGAGCAAACAGGAUUAGAGACCCCCGUAGUCCCUGUCUCUUAUAC
rnacentral:rRNA from 1 species